rnacentral:rRNA from 1 species
UCCAGACUCCUACGGGAGGCAGCAGUGAGGAAUAUUGGUCAAUGGCCGAGAGGCUGGACCAGCCAAGUCGCGUGAGGGAUGACGGCCCUACGGGUUGUAAACCUCUUUUGUCGGGGAGCAAAGAGAGUCACGUGUGGCUCAUUGAGAGUACCCGAAGAAAAAGCAUCGGCUAACUACGUGCCAGCAGCCGCGGUAAUACGUAGGGGGCAAACGUUAUCCGGAUUUACUGGGUGUAAAGGGAGCGUAGACGGCUGUGCAAGUCUGAAGUGAAAGCCCGUGGCUCAACCGCGGAACUGCUUUGGAAACUGUAUAGCUUGAGUACUGGAGAGGCAGGCGGAAUUCCUAGUGUAGCGGUGAAAUGCGUAGAUAUUAGGAGGAACACCAGUGGCGAAGGCGGCCUGCUGGACAGAAACUGACGUUGAGGCUCGAAAGCGUGGGGAGCAAACAGGAUUAGAUACCCCGGUAC